UAGUCCACGCCGUAAACGAUGAGUGCUAGUUGUUGGGAUGUUUACAUCUCGGUGACGUAGCUAACGCGUUAAGCACUCCGCCUGGGGAGUACGGCCGCAAGGCUAAAACUCAAAUGAAUUGACGGGGGCCCGCACAAGCGGUGGAGCAUGUGGUUUAAUUCGAAGCAACGCGAAGAACCUUACCAGCUCUUGACAUACCUAUCGCAGUCUCCAGAGAUGGAGACCUUCAGUUCGGCUGGAUAGGAUACAGGUGCUGCACGGCUGUCGUCAGCUCGUGUCGUGAGAUGUUGGGUUAAGUCCCGCAACGAGCGCAACCCUCGCCCUUAGUUGCCAGCAUUUAGUUGGGCACUCUAGGGGGACUGCCGGUGAUAAGCCGGAGGAAGGUGGGGGACGACGUCAAGUCAUCAUGGCCCUUACGGGGCUGGGGCUACACACGUGCUACAAUGGCGGUGACNGAGGGGCAGGCCACUCCGCGAGGGAGGGAGGCUAAUCCCUAAAAACCGGUCUCAGUU
rnacentral:rRNA from 1 species